rnacentral:misc_RNA from 1 species
AAGUCGUAACAAGGUUUCCGUAGGUGAACCUGCGGAAGGAUCAUUAACACGUAUCCAAACGUUAAAACCCCUCCCGUGAACCUUCAUCCUGCUCUUGUAACCCGCGUAGUUCGCAAUCUCUGAUAAAUCAUAGCCCGGAAAGUUGUAGUGAUUCAGAGACCUCUGGCUCCGUAGGCAAUGUUUCCCCAAGCAGUCAGUGUCGGAAAGUGUCAUUGAUUGUGCAAGGAUAGCGCUUCUACGAUUCCUGUAGACCGUACACUCGGGCAGGAGCUUUGCCAAAGGGUCCCCAUGCCCCCUAAUAACCCCACAAUUUAAUGUGAAGCUCAAUGUAAUACAUUGGGUAAAAAAACCGAACAACUGUUAACAAUGGAUAUCUUGGUUCUC